ensembl:lncRNA
GAGAAAACACUGAUUUGUAACACUAGAAAAAGCCAAGAUAUAUCUUUGGCCAAUUUCUUAACCACACUUCUUUAGCCAUAAAAUUUUUCAUUUAUUUUACUUUUUCAGUUAUUUAUUGAAAUAACUAUCCAGAAAACAUUUUUUAAAAAGCUUUUACAUCCAGAGCUAGACUCAAUAUUAAAAGUUGGACUUAUUUUUGUACGUUAAUCUUCUAAACGGUCAUCUGCUCUUCCAGAACGCCCUAUCUCAGCGGCCAGCAUGAUGGUCCAUCCCGAGCCACAAGUCGUCUUUUCUGCUUCUGCCCUCCCUCACUCUCACAGCUAAUCCAACACCAAGUCUCAUCAAUUUUACUUCCUAAUACCACUCCACUCCAUCCACCUCUCUCCACACCCACUGCCACCGCCCUAGGAUAAGACAUUUUCAUCUCUUGUUUGCAUUCCCAUUAGUCUCCUUCCUAGGCUCCUACACCGCACUUGAACCCUGUAAUCAAUUCCCGCCUCUGCACUGCGGUCACCACCCCCAGUGCUCUCCCCACCUUAAAUUGCCCUGCGACGACCAACAUCUUCCAUGAGGCCAAAAGGCCGUUCCCACCUCUCCAGCCUCGUUAUAUACCAAACUUCCUUCCCUGCCGAAGCCACAACGCCUUUCAGAUUCUGGAAAUGCUCUUCCCCUUGGUUUAGGAAACACCAGAUGCUUGCCUGCUGCUAUCAUUCUUCUAAUUACCUCCCUAGCUAAGCCACACCUCCCUCCUCCCUGUCUCCCGCCCCCAUCUGAUUGUUGAGCUCAACAUUAAAUGCUUCCACAGUAGGGUUUCUUUCCUUUAUGGCACUUACUACAAUUACAAUUUUGUGAUUACCUUAUGACCGUCUCUCUCCUUCACUAGAUGGUAAUUUCUAUGAAGCAGGGAAUGAAUCUCAUUUAUCCUUUAUUGUAUUGUGCCUGGCACAAUAAACAGUAGUUCAUUUUCCAGAACCCUCUCCACUCUAUCUACUUUCUUAGACUGAGGCCUCUCGUGACAUGGACUUGGAACUGCGGCUUUUCAGGGAGAAAACUUCUCAGGAGUCUUAUACAUACAUGAAGCCUACUAAAUGACAAAUGGGGGAAAAGGAAAAAUCCCACAAUCCCUUAGCGACCUUCCCCAACAAAGCUUCCUCCGGGGGCUGCAAGGAGCAAGGCAACAGUCCCGUCUGCCCUUCCCGCUCUGGGGCAGAAACCAGGACCAAGCGGCCAGGAGCGCUCCGAGAAUGCACACCCGGUCACGUGCACCGGCGGCGGCCACGCCCACCCCGGAAGGGGACCUGCGGCGCGCCUCGGCUGGAGAAGGGCCCCAGCGACGUAAGGCGUGCGUGCGUACGUGCGCCGGGAUGGCGAGGCGGAAGGGCCAGGGGACUGAAGGAGCGGCUCCGGGCUACCGGGACAGCGGCUUGCGCCCGAAGUCAGCUUUAGCGCCUGGCUGAGUCCCCGACCCGCGGCAGGGCCUGCGGGGCCUCUCUGCGUCCCGCCCGACGGGAUGGGUGGCAGUGACCUUCCAGGGACACGGCCGAGGGCAAUGUCGCUUCCUUCACAGGCACGUCCCCAAGACUACGUCCUCACGCCGCAGGUUCCCCCGCUGCGUGCUCAGCGCCCCUCGCCCGUAGCUUUACCUGUACCGGCCGGCGAUGAGCAAAGUCUGUCAGAAGGAGCCGGUAAACGGGCUCCGCCGUGAGACCCCUUCGCUUUCCGUAGUGGGCGGGGCUUCGCCCGGCGUCUUUUAAAGGAAAGGUGACGUGGGAGGAGCGCCUUUCCAGCUGGCGGGAUAAAUACCUCCGACAGAAAGUGCGGGGGGCGCGCAAGUUCCUGCUGCUUAGAGGGGCGUCGCGGACUCCGUGCCGCGCUUGCGACCGUCAGCGGCUCUUCUCGUUACGUUACGUUGACGCCAGCCUCCGUGCUUCUACGUGCCCACUGGGGCUUACAGAGGCUUGUUUCCUAAACGUCUUUUGUUUAGUAAAAUGCUGUUUUAAUUUCAUGUUUAAUAAACUGUUUCAUAAGCGUCUUAUAAUUAUUGUGCGUCGGGGAGCCCUGCCCCCUGUUUGCAGGUGAGCAGACGGAGCCGGGCGCUAAGAGGUUGCCCCGGCGGCGUCGGUGACUGCGCUCGGUGACCGCGCGGGGCCGCCGGGACAGACGGAGGGGGCCGGCGGAUGGGGAAACUAGUUCAGCCUGAAGUAGCUGCUUGGGAGCAAGGACCGAGGCUCCGUUUCCUCAUCACGUCCACGGCGUCUGGCACGGAGGCGCUGAUGUUGGCUGAAAUAGUGAAGUGAACCCAGACGCAGCUCGUGUGUGUGACCCGAAGUCCGAGGACACCCUUGUUACCCCAUUUCACGGAGGAAGGAACUGAAGCAUAAAGAAGUUAAGUAAUUUGCCCAAGGACACACAACUAGUAGAGAAUCAAGAAUAAAAAGACCCAGGCAGCCUGGUGCCAGAGUUGGUGCUCUGAAUGCCGGAUGUUCCUUCUGCUGCUGAAUAAAGAAGAGCGAAGCCAAGUUCCAAGUCCGGGAGGAUACUGAGCGUAAUGUGUAAAAUUGAUGGAAGACUUGAAUAGCUAAACGAAAGACUUGAAAUUUGGUAAGAUGAGGAUGUGAAUUAAAUUCACACCCAGUGAUCGUGCGUAGCCCAAGCUCCUGCCAGCAUCCAGUUUGUAGCCCCUCUUUGAAGCCCCAUCUCUAAGUGUCCAGAGUAGAUGCUUUGGGAGAUUUUCUAGACUGCCGUUGUCAGAUGUCUCAACAAGAAGGAGAUGCUUUAGUAUUCCUGGAAGGAGAGGAACAGAAAAGGGGUGGGCGUUAGAGACCUGCCCUCAGACAGAAGCUGUUUUUUUCAUCUGCUCCCUUGAACUCUGCUUUGCCCUCCAGCUCAGUGGGACACGGCAGCUUUUAAAGAGCCUGCCUUGGGCUCAGCUCUGUCCCGACAGACUUUGCAGACUCUUGAAUAAAGACGGUAAAGCAGGCAACUGGCCCUCCUAGGACCCUUCCCUAUAUUUAUGGCCUCUACUUGUGGAGGCAUCCUUCUUGGUUUAGGGAGGUCAUGUUACUGUGCCGUAAACUAUCUGGUUCAGUAUGUGCAUAGAGGAGGACUCUCGGAGGUCUAUAGAGCUUUCCCAAUUAUUAUUGUUUCUACCCAUAAUUUACAAAAAAAAAGAACCGAAAAAUACCAAAGUGUAACUCAGUAAGAUUCAAAUCCUGGGGGCUCUAAAACGUCUACCUUUUCUUCCACGAUGAGAUUCCAUGGUUGGUCCCUGAAUGACACAUUUUCUCACACAACGCCUAUUGUGGUGUUUUGCUCUGAUGAAGGAUUAAAGGAGAUAUUUUGUCCCUGUCCUUGCCUGUCAUCUUUCAGAGUCACCUCUCUCUCCGCUGGCAUGGAGGGAACCUUCCGAACAAGGAGACUCGUAAGAGGCAGUUACUUAGCCCGAGGUCGUUGAGGUUCAAUAUAUCUGUUCCACAAAGUAAUUAUCCUAUGAGUGAUUCCGUUAAGAAGUUACUAACACUAGGCUGUGACUUUAUGAUGCCACAAUGACAGCAACAAUUACUUUAAGAAGCUAAUGUUAAACUAAUCGAAAUCCUAGGUUUAUUUUGAAGUUAAGUAGCUGUGGCAAAGCCUGGGUGGGUUCAGAUAUUCAGCAUAUUCUCCAACAAAUAGUUGUGAAUGGAUCAUAGGUAGUUAAUCUACAUCUUCCUCCAUUAGGUUGUAAGUUCUUAUCAGGGCAGUUUUGCUAAAAUGGGGGAGCCGAAGAAGUCUUAUGUGUCAGAUCUAUGCAGUGCAAACUAAAUCUGGCUGAGAGCAGCUGUCUUGAAUGGCAGCAACCUCUCAUCACAGAGCCAGUUUGAAUAGCUGAGAGGGUCCAUGCUCUCCUGAGUUUUUGUUGACAGACUUGUCAAAAAGGACACGGAAAGCAAGGUGCGCAGGCAGCUCUGGCUGAGCAUGAGGUCGCUCAGGACAAACCUCCUGGAGAUGCUCUCAGUCCAAUCCUGUGUCUGUUAGCAUCACAUCAGAAAGCUGGUGGCCUCACCGAGUGUCUGCCAUUUAUCCUCAGGCAGAACUGUGAUUAAUCCAUUCCAAACACGUAAACAUCCAGAAACAAAAACAAAAACAAAAAACUCCAGGAGAGGAGAUUUAGCCCUCCCUCAGGAGCUCCUGUCAGUGUUUUAAAGGACUUAGGGGUCUUUUCCUUUAAGUAACCAAAAUCCCUCGUGUGGCUACUUCUGCCAGUUCCCCAGAGGAGCUGGAGAACAUCGGGUGACCACAUUUGUGUUAAACCCUUUAUGUGCUCUCAAACUAUUAUUUGAUUCAGAAUAAAUUUCAUUAUCAUGUGUAAGAUUUCCCAUAACAUUAGACUCCAAAUUAAUCAUUUCUCUUGUCAAAAAAUGAUGGCCCCGAUUAUUAAAACAUGAUGGUGGUUGUGAAUGAGCAAAAUAAAUUUAUCUA